ACCUCGAAUAACCGCAUGUGCUAUUCCUCUCUAACAUUCUUCAAUAAAGGAAAGGAAAUAUAUAUAUAUAUAUAUAUAUAUAUAAAUAAUAAUAGAUAAUAAUAAUAUAUUGUCUUUAUUAUUGAAAAAAAACUAUAAAUGUGAGCAGAUAAUAAAGAAAGAAUUGAGAACAGUUUAAGGCUCUGGAAAUACAAGGCUUUUUGAUUGUAUUCUAAUCCAAUCUACGUUUGUGCUGUGAGAUCAUUGCACAGUUGGAGGUGGAGUUUUGCAGAGACGUGAAACUACUUCAACAGGAAGGUUAAUUCUUCCUGUUUAGCCGAGUAACGGUGACCACCUGUUUUUGUAUUAGAUAAAUAAAAAAAUAUAUUGUAAACAUAAAUUGUAAAGAUAAUAUUGUCCAUAGGUGAAACUUUCGAUUUUGUAUAAUGUAAAUUGGGUAAAAUUACAAUAAAACGAUUCAUCUUCCCC